rnacentral:rRNA from 1 species
UACGUAGGGUGCGAGCGUUAAUCGGAAUUACUGGGCGUAAAGCGUGCGCAGGCGGAUUGUUAAGCAAGAUGUGAAAUCCCCGGGCUUAACCUGGGAAUGGCAUUUUGAACUGGCAGUCUAGAGUGCGUCAGAGGGGGGUGGAAUUCCACGUGUAGCAGUGAAAUGCGUAGAGAUGUGGAGGAACACCGAUGGCGAAGGCAGCCCCCUGGGAUGACACUGACGCUCAUGUACGAAAGCGUGGGUAGCAAACAGG